ensembl:lncRNA
CACCGUUAACACUGAUAAUAACCUGUUGAUGUCAAUAUGUUUCUCGACCCUUAUAAUCUGAGGUGGGGACGGGAUUGAUGACAUUACAUUGAGACUCCAUACAUUGAGUUAUGUGUCGGAGUAUGGUUUGUCAAUUGUUCUUGUUUACAUUCAAGCAAGAGAAAUUCAGGAGCUUCAAACAAAGCUGUAAAACCUGACAACACAACACCACUUUCGUGUACAGUGGUUUACUGGGAUCUGACGAAGACAUGGGUUUAAACAGCAAUAGUAAACAGUAAUUGUUUACCAUCCAGAUAUUAUUCAAAACUAGGACAACAAAUCUUACCAAAUGUAAGCCUAUUGAAUGAAUAUUGUCUUAGCAUUAGGUAUGCACUGCAGUGAGAUUAUGUGUGCUUCUAUACUAUGGUGUAUGUGUGUUGUGUUUUUGUGUUUUUUUCUGCUGGCUGUACAAAUAAUUGCCCCUCGGGGACAAUAAAGUAUCCUUGACCUUGUGUUGAAACUGAUUAAAAAAAUUACUGAAUUGCAGUAAAAUAAAUGUAUAAUAAAUAUCUGAAAGAAUCAUUGCAGCCUGUAUCAAGACUAAUACAGGCUGCAAGAUUAGCUAAGUCAAGUCUAGUGCUUCUUGAUACCUAUACAAGAUGGGCAAUCAUAGUAAUGGGUGAAGUUCAAGUAAGCUGAGAGCUCCAUGCCAUCCAAAGCUAUUUGGUCUUCCUUGAAGCAAAUGUUCCCGGUUUGCUUCCUUCUGUAGAUUUGAAACCUACACCCUCCUGGUGGCAUCCUGGGAUUUGACUGAGGUCAGCAGACACCAAGUUAAGAGUUACCAGUGCAAACACGUCCGAGAUAAGUGUUCCUUGACGAAAAGCAUAAAAAGUGAGCCAGAUAAUCAUCUCUUGGGCCAAAUUCCUCUACUUCCUGCUUGGGUAACAUCAAAGCCAACAUGCCACCCGAGUUCAAUGAUUAUCCUGACACCAAGGUUGUGAUCAACUUCACUGAACUUUGCUGCCAGACACCAUCUUCCCUACUCCUGCAGAGUGAGGUGUUUUCUUCAUACAAGUUGCACUGUACCUUCAAGGGCAUGUUGGGAAUGUCACCACAUGGAGCUGUCACUUGUGUAUGCACUUUGUAUGCUGGUUCUGUGAGUGACAAAGAGAUUGUUAGGCAGCCAGGAAUUCUUUCCUUACUUAUCUCUGGUCAUGGCCUUUAUGGUGGAUGAGGGCUACCUUGUGGAUGAUCAUGUUCCAUGUGAGAUCUGUCGGCCAGCUUUUCUGCCGAGGCGCCACAGAUGCCAGGGCAUGAGGUUAGGGAGACCCUAUCCAUUGCCAGGCUAAGGGAGCAUGUUAAAAGAAUGAUUCAGAGAGUAAAGGAGCACAAGCUGUUUGACACAGUCAUCCCUCUGACCGUCUCAGGCAGCAUUAACCAUUGUUGUGCCUGCUGGUCAAUCAAAAUGGACCUUUGGUCAGAGCAUGGGCCAAGCUGGUAUAAAUGUACAUUUGUUUUUGCUUUGGGUCACUCUGAUUUGGACCAAUUGUUAGGGAGAUGCUUUGGUAAUCCAUGCAUAAUGUUUUUAAAGACAAACAACUGCAUUAACUAAUAGCUACAAGUAAAUGCUUUUUGGAUAGUACCUGAUUUUGGGGCUACCACAAAAUCAGGUGAACUUCACAAAUGUCAAAAUAUUUAUAAUUUGUGGACGAAAUGUAUCAAUAACUUGUAACACUGCAAUACAUAUCAUUUGGUGGUGUAGAUCUUGUAUUGGCCUUAAUAAGGAAAUUAAUUUUAGUAAGCACCGAACAGAAAAAAAUCAAAAAUUCAACAGCAUGUCUAUGAAAUACAGGAGAUAUACAUUUAUUAAUACAUUUGAACUGUUGAAAUGAUA